rnacentral:rRNA from 1 species
UAGGGAAUUUUGGACGAUGGGCGCAAGCCUGAUCCAGCCAUGCCGCGUGCGGGAAGAAGGCCUUCGGGUUGUAAACCGCUUUUGUCAGGGAAGAAACGGUCUGGGCUAAUACCCCGGACUAAUGACGGUACCUGAAGAAUAAGCACCGGCCAACUACGUGCCAGCAGCCGCGGUAAUACGUAGGGUGCAAGCGUUAAUCGGAAUUACUGGGCGUAAAGCGUGCGCAGGCGGUUAUGCAAGACAGAUGUGAAAUCCCCGGGCUUAACCUGGGAACUGCAUUUGUGACUGCAUAGCUAGAGUACGGUAGAGGGGGAUGGAAUUCCGCGUGUAGCAGUGAAAUGCGUAGAUAUGCGGAGGAACACCGAUGGCGAAGGCAAUCCCCUGGACCUGUACUGACUCUCAUGCACGAAAGCGUGGGGAGCAAACA